UACGGAGGGGGCAAGCGUUAUUCGGAAUUAUUGGGCGUAAAGGGCGCGUAGGCGGCUAGAUGUGUCAAAGGUGAAAUCCCUCGGCUCAACUGAGGAACUGCCUUUGAAACUGUCUGGCUUGAGGCCGGGAGAGGGUAGCGGAAUUCCUAGUGUAGAGGUGAAAUUCGUAGAUAUUAGGAAGAACACCAGUGGCGAAGGCGGCUCACUGGCCCGGUACUGACGCUGAGGCGCGAAAGCGUGGGGAGCAAACAGG
rnacentral:rRNA from 1 species